UAAGAGUUUGGGACCUGGCUCAGAAUGAACGCUGGCGGCAUGCCUAACACAUGCAAGUCGAACGAAGGCCCGAUUUCGGUUGGGUCCUUAGUGGCGCACGGGUGCGUAACGCGUGGGAAUCUGCCCCUUGGUUCGGAAUAACAGUUAGAAAUGACUGCUAAUACCGGAUGAUGACGUAAGUCCAAAGAUUUAUCGCCGAGGGAUGAGCCCGCGUAGGAUUAGCUAGUUGGUGUGGUAAGAGCGCACCAAGGCGACGAUCCUUAGCUGGUCUGAGAGGAUGAUCAGCCACACUGGGACUGAGACACGGCCCAGACUCCUACGGGAGGCAGCAGUGGGGAAUAUUGGACAAUGGGCGAAAGCCUGAUCCAGCAAUGCCGCGUGAGUGAUGAAGGCCUUAGGGUUGUAAAGCUCUUUUACCCGGGAUGAUAAUGACAGUACCGGGAGAAUAAGCUCCGGCUAACUCCGUGCCAGCAGCCGCGGUAAUACGGAGGGAGCUAGCGUUAUUCGGAAUUACUGGGCGUAAAGCGCACGUAGGCGGCUUUGUAAGUAAGAGGUGAAAGCCCAGAGCUCAACUCUGGAAUUGCCUUUUAGACUGCAUCGCUUGAAUCAUGGAGAGGUCAGUGGAAUUCCGAGUGUAGAGGUGAAAUUCGUAGAUAUUCGGAAGAACACCAGUGGCGAAGGCGGCUGACUGGACAUGUAUGACGCUGAGGUCGAAAAGAUUCUUA
rnacentral:rRNA from 1 species